GCAAGUCGAGCGGGGGAAGGUAGCUUGCUACUGGACCUAGCGGCGGACGGGUGAGUAAUGCUUAGGAAUCUGCCUAUUAGUGGGGGACAACAUCUCGAAAGGGAUGCUAAUACCGCAUACGUCCUACGGGAGAAAGCAGGGGAUCUUCGGACCUUGCGCUAAUAGAUGAGCCUAAGUCGGAUUAGCUAGUUGGUGGGGUAAAGGCCUACCAAGGCGACGAUCUGUAGCGGGUCUGAGAGGAUGAUCCGCCACACUGGGACUGAGACACGGCCCAGACUCCUACGGGAGGCAGCAGUGGGGAAUAUUGGACAAUGGGCGCAAGCCUGAUCCAGCCAUGCCGCGUGUGUGAAGAAGGCCUUAUGGUUGUAAAGCACUUUAAGCGAGGAGGAGGCUGCUUUUGAUAAUACCUAGAGAUAGUGGACGUUACUCGCAGAAUAAGCACCGGCUAA
rnacentral:rRNA from 1 species